rnacentral:ncRNA from 1 species
UGCGCGCCAUACGGGAGUCCGGGUCAACCGGGCUGAGAGGGUCUCUUUCUGCGGGGCCGACCGUUGAACCUGAUACGGGUCAUGCCGUUGGAGGAAAUGGAUACCCCCCCUUU